GACGAACGCUGGCGGCGUGCUUAACACAUGCAAGUCGAACGGAAAGGCCCUGCUUUUGUGGGGUGCUCGAGUGGCGAACGGGUGAGUAACACGUGAGUAACCUGCCCUUGACUGUGGGAUAACUUCAGGAAACUGGGGCUAAUACCGGAUAGGAGCUACUGCUGCAUGGUGGGGGUUGGAAAGUUUCGGCGGUUGGGGAUGGACUCGCGGCUUAUGAGCUUGUUUGUGUGGUUGUGGUUGUCCAAGGCUUUGACGGGGAGCCGGCCUGAGAGGGUGACCGGCCACGCUGGGUCUGAGAUACGGCCCAGACUACUACGGGAGGCAACAGAGGAGAAUAUUGCACAAUGGGCGGAACGCUGGUACAGCAACGCCGCGUGCGGGAUGACGGCCUUCGGGUUGUAAACCGCUUUCGCCUGAGACGAAGCGUGAGUGACGGUAAUGGGUAAAGAAGCACCGGCUAACUACGUG
rnacentral:rRNA from 1 species